UGGCGUACAGUGUGCGGCGCCUCUGGCUUUCUUCCCUCAGUUGCCGGCUCCUGUUUGGCUCUCGGCGUUCCUCCUGGAGUCGCCUCUGUUCUUCAUCUAGGAGGCUGUCCUGGAGCUCUGCUCGUUGCAGCUUCUCCUCCCGGAAGCGCUGCUCCUCCCUGUCGCGGAACCGCUGCUCCUGCUCCAGGCGCUCCUCCGCCCGCUGCGGCCUCUCCCACUGGUUGCGCUGGCGCGCCUCCUCAGCGGGACGCUCCUGUUGGAGGUCGCGGCGCUGCUCCUCCUGCUCCCGGAGCUGACGCUCCCCCAGCUCCUGGCGAAGCCUCUGCUCCUGCCUGCUAGGCCUAGAGUAGACCUUGUUCUGACGGGCGUCUGCCUCGUUUUCGAGCUGCCACUGCCACCUCUGGGUAAUGCUCUCGUCGGGUUCCCGGAUCCGCGUCAGCUCGUCCUCCUCAGCCAGCUCCUGCCUCAGCUCUUGCUCGCGUCUUAGCUCUUGCUCACGCCUCAGUUCCUGCCUCAACUCCUGCUCGCGCCUUAGCUCUUGCUCGCGCCUCAGUUCCUGCCUCAACUCCUGCUCGCGCCUUAGCUCUUGCUCGCGCCUCAGUUCCUGCCUCAACUCCUGCUCGCGCCUUAGCUCCUGCUCGCGCCUCAGCUCCUGCCUCAGCUCCUGCUCGCGCCUUAGCUCUUGUUCGCGCCUCAGCUCCUGCCUUCGAUUCAGCUCCUGCUCGCGCCUCAGCUCUUGCCUCAGCUCCUGCUCGCGCCUUAGCUCCUGCUCGCGCCUCUGUUCCUGCCUCAACUCCUGCUCGCGCCUUAGCUCUUGUUCGCGCCUCAACUCCAGAUCGCGCCUUAGCAGGGGUUCGCGUAGCUCUUCUUGCCUGCGCUUCUGCAGCCUUCUCUCUUCUGUUUGGCCCUUGCCCUUGAGUUCCUGCCUCUCUUGCCUUUGCUGUUCCUCUACCUCAGAAAACUCCUCCGCGUCACGACCCUUACUCCAGCCAAGCGGCUCUUUCUCUGCAAGGCGUUCCUCCAGUUCUUGCAGUUCUCGCCUUUGCAGUCUCUGCUCUUCAUCGCGGUGCUGCCUGUAGCGCUGCUCCAGCCGCUGCUCCUCAGCGCGCUCCUCCUGCUCACGUCUCUUCUGCCAGCUUCGGCGCCCAGGUUCUUCGUCCAGUUGUCUGCUUCGGGGCUCGAAUCUCCUUUGGUCUUCUUGCCUGCGAUCUUGUGACAGGUUCCUCUUUUCAUUGGGCAGGGCUCUCUUCUCGCCUAGCUCUGCGGCCUGAUCGAGAGCAUAAUAGCAAGCUUGAGCAAUCUUGAAAAGGAACAGGAGGAAUUCGUUGAAAUCAACACGCCCGUUGCAGUCGCGAUCCAGAAGUUCUAGGGUCAGGUCUAUCGUCUCAGGGUCAUGUGGUCUCUAUGAAAAGAUUAAAACAAACAAACAAAAAAGUUUUAUAAUUAAUUAUUUACAAGUAGUAAACUUUUGCACUCACGUUUGUUUUGGGGAGGGGACUAUUUGGAGCGAUUAGAAAAUGCACAGAGGAGCUGGAGAGAUGGUUUAGCCGCUAAGAGCACUUGACUGCUCUUCCAUAAGUCCUGAGUUCAAUUCCCAGCAACCACAUGGUGGCUCACAACCCCAUCUGUAAUGGGAUCUGAUGCUCUCUUCUGGUGUGUCUAAAGGGAUCGACAGUGUACUCACAUAUAAAAUAAAUAAAUAAAUCUUUUUAAAAAGCAAA
rnacentral:lncRNA from 1 species